GAGCAACGCCGCGUGAGUGAUGAAGGUUUUCGGAUCGUAAAACUCUGUUGUCAGGGAAGAACAAGUACCGGAGUAACUGCCGGUACCUUGACGGUACCUGACCAGAAAGCCACGGCUAACUACGUGCCAGCAGCCGCGGUAAUACGUAGGUGGCAAGCGUUGUCCGGAAUUAUUGGGCGUAAAGCGCGCGCAGGCGGUUCCUUAAGUCUGAUGUGAAAGCCCCCGGCUCAACCGGGGAGGGUCAUUGGAAACUGGGGAACUUGAGUGCAGAAGAGAAGAGUGGAAUUCCACGUGUAGCGGUGAAAUGCGUAGAGAUGUGGAGGAACACCAGUGGCGAAGGCGACUCUUUGGUCUGUAACUGACGCUGAGGCGCGAAAGCGUGGGGAGCAAACAGGAUUAGAUACCCUGGUAGUCCACGCCGUAAACGAUGAGUGCUAAGUGUUAGAGGGUUUCCGCCCUUUAGUGCUGCAGCAAACGCAUUAAGCAC
rnacentral:rRNA from 1 species